rnacentral:piRNA from 1 species
UAUCGAAAUUUACGUUGUCCA